rnacentral:tRNA from 1 species
UGGUUGGUUGCCCGGGUUGGCAAUGGGGGACUUCCCUUUUGAGGGUAAUGGUCCUGGGUUCGAGUUCCGUACCAACUGU